GUGAAAUGGUGGGGUAAGAGCCCACCGCGCCGCUGGUAACAGCGGUGGCAGGGUAACCCCCAGUCGGAGCAAGGCCAAAUAGGCGGCGAGGUGCGACCCGCACCGUUAGAGCAGUGGGUCGGCUGCUCGAGGCGUCCGGCGACGGACGUCCCAGAUAGAUGAUCGCCCGUCUACCUCGGUAGACGAACAGAACUCGGCUUACGGCCCGGCCUCCCUU
rnacentral:RNase_P_RNA from 1 species